rnacentral:rRNA from 1 species
GACUAACGCUGGCGGCUUGCCUAAUACAUGCAAGUAUAACGCAGUUUCGAACGGGUGAGUAACGCGUAGGUAACUGCCUCAUAGCUGGUGAUAACUAUUGGAAACGAUAUCUAAUACCGCAUACUUUGAGAUUUACCUGCGUUGUAUUUGCUUGUUGGUGAGUUAAAGGCUCACCAAGUCUACGAUACAUAGCCGACCUGAGAGGGUGCGCGGCCACACGGGGACGGAGACACGGCCCAGACUACUACGGGAGGCAGCAGUAGGGAAUCUUCGGCAAGGGACGGAAGUCUGACCGAGCAACGCCGCGUGAGUGAAGAAGGUUUUCGGAUCGUAAACCUCUGUUGUUAGAGAAGCGGUAUAUAACCAGAAAGUCACGGCUAACUACGUGCCAGCAGCCGCGGUAAUAC